UAGAGAGUUACAUGGUUCUCUUCUCACAAUCAUCUCUAAACCCUAAAUCUCGUGUCUCUUGAUCAUCUCUCUUCAAAUUCUUGCAGUGUCACAAAUUUGCGUUCCUCUUCGAAAAUUGCACCGUUUAAGUGUUCGGUUUGUUUCGUUGACCGAAUCUUGUUUUCUUCAAGAUAGGGUUCGCUGAGUUUCCAAAAGCAAUUUAUUCAUCUUCUCAGGGAUGGAUCAUUGGAUGCGUCCAUGACCCGAAAGGAAUCAAUGAAUAUUCAUUGUAAUAUAAUAUAAGGGAUGGAUGGCGACGCUGUGUAGCUCCGGUAGUUUUCCAGUUCGCUGCAGCAAUAAUUUUUCCGUUCUCAUCAUGGACAACCGUGCAAAGCCCCCCAACAUUCAUCAGGGGUCAAAGAUGCAUCACUGUUUGCCUUGAACUAACCGAUUAGAGACUUUUUCCAAUUAUUUCCUGUUGCCGGCAAUGGAUGUUGUUGAUGCGCAAUUCUGCAAUUGUUUGCUGGGUUUAAGAUUGCUUCUAGUUUACUUUCGCACUGGGAAACAACUUCAAUAAUCUCCUGAACUGAUAAAAAGUGUACGAGUUGAAGAAAGGAGCGAAAACGGACAGAAAAGGAGCAAAAAAAUGGACAAAAAGGACCACACAUGUGCAGCCAAUUGGGCCACACAUGUGCAGCCCACACAAAUCAAACAUGGCGUCCGCCAACAAGGAAAGAAGUGGCGCCUGCCAGCUAGCCAAAAAUGGCAACUGCCUACUCCUCUCAAGUGGCCCUCGCCACUUUCUCUCAAUUCAUCAAAAGCCAUACAAUUGAUCCAACGGCAACGCGCUAUUUUUCCUUAAGUCCCACAUCGGACAGAUUGUGUUUUGUCUCCUUGUAUUUUAGUAUAAAUAGGUCCCUUUUCUCCACUUUCUAGACACCAACUGAUAACACUUGACUAGAGAAUUGAAAACUAGGCUUAGUACCACAAGGUUUUUCUUCUCUAAAGUCGAGAGUUUAGUAUUAUUUUAUUCUCCGUUGAGAAUAAAAUAAGUUUUUUUUAUUUUCCUACCGUUUACGCUGUCGGAAUCCGUACUCGAGAUUUCUUUUUAAUUCAGGUUCUUAUUUUAUUUUAUGGUCUUAUUUAUUUCUUGUCUUUAUUUUAUUGCUUUUAUUUUAUGCUUU